GUCCUUAUAGUUAAGACGGAUAUAACACGGUCCUCCUAAGACUGAGUCACUGGUUCGAAUCCAGUUAGGGACACCA
rnacentral:tRNA from 1 species